GACGAACGCUGGCGGCGUGCUUAACACAUGCAAGUCGAACGGAAAGGCCCUGCUUUUGUGGGGUGCUCGAGUGGCGAACGGGUGAGUAACACGUGAGUAACCUGCUCUUGACUUUGGGAUAACUUCAGGAAACUGGGGCUAAUACCGGAUAGGAGCUCCUGCUGCAGGGUGGGGGUUGGAAAGUUUCGGCGGGUGGGGAUGGACUCGCGGCUUAUCAGCUUGUUGGUGGGGUAGUGGCUUACCAAGGCUUUGACGGGUAGCCGGCCUGGGAGGGUGACCGGCCACAUUGGGCCUGCGAUACGGCCCAGACUCCUACGGGAGGCAGCAGUGGGGAAUAUUGCACAAUGGGCGGAAGCCUGAUGCAGCAACGCCGCGUGCGGGAUGACGGCCUUCGGGUUGUAAACCGCUUUCGCCUGUGACGAAGCGUGAGUGACGGUAAUGGGUAAAGAAGCACCGGCUAACUACGUG
rnacentral:rRNA from 1 species